UUCAUAAAAACAUAGUCUCUGAUUUGUGAAAACUUUAUUCUAUUUGUGAAAAUGCAAUAAAGGCACAUUUUACAGUUUUUUUCUCAUCCAGACCACAUUAGACCAGGUCCAGCUCGAGAACCGCUACACUUAGACUCUUCAAAUCUGGACUGAAUUAUUCUACAGAGCCUCUGAAUUCAUAAAAACAUAGUCUCUGAUUUGUGAAAACUUUAUUCUAUUUGUGAAAAUGCAAUAAAGGCACAUUUUACUGUUUUUUCAGCAUAUAGACCACAUUAGACCAGGUCCAGGUCGAGAACCGCUACACGUAGACUCUUCAAAUCUGGACUGAAUUAUUCUACAGAGCCUGUAGAUUCAUAAAAACAUAGUCUCUGAUUUGUGAAAAUUUUAUUCUAUUUGUGAAAAUGCAAUAAAUGCACUUUUAAAAUAAAAGCAUAUCCACCUCAAAGCUAA